CUCAGGCACGUAGCAGCCAAUCUUGCCCUCUUUUAUAAAAUGGGGAUGACAUUACCAUCUCUUAGUGAAGGAUAACUAAAUAAUACAUAUAGAGCACCCCACAUAGUACCUGGAAGAGAGUAAGCACUGUGUAAAAGAGUAGAGAGGCUGCGAGAUGUCCACCAAGAGGACAGGAUCAGGUCUCUGACCGGGAGGUUGGCGUCUCUUCUCCUGGUUUACGGAGUUGGCCAGAAAGACUCACUUUCAACUAGUUGCUGUGUCCUUUGAUGUAUACUAAUCAUCCUGGAGUAUUCUUGCCUGGAGAAUCCCAUGGACAGAAGAACUUGGCAGGCUCCAGUCCAUGGGGUCGCAAAAAGCCGGACGUGACUAAAGCAGCUGAGCACACAUACACAGUCAUUCUUUGAGCACUUUCUUACUAAUGGAAAGCUCCAGGUUCAUAUUUCACUUGGUCUGCCCCAGUCCUGGAGUCAGCCUUUCUCCAAAGAGCCAUAGGUCCUUUCAUUGAGGGCCAUAUUUUAAAACUAUGAUCUGGACAUGACAAGUUACUGGGUGUCAAUGCUUGUAAGUCCCCUAAGUAGACUUAGAUAAGAACUUCGUAGAUAUUUGUGGGUAUGUACAUCAAAAAGCAUACACACCUGUGUAUAGAACUGUGACUUCAUACUGAUAUUUCCAAUGUUAUAGAGUUCUUCACUCCCCUUUUCCAAAUUUAUCAUUCUUUUCUCUGACAUUGAGAAACUUAAUUCUAAUUAUCCAAAAUAUAUUAUUUCCUUUGUCCUAGAGUGCAUGUAAUUUUAGUAUUUCUAACUAGUAUUUGAAUUUGCAGUGCUUAAUUUGGUCAAUUUAGUUUUGCUAAAACUGAAAAGCACAUCUAUUGUCUAGCAUCUACCCUGUGUUACUGUUUUUGUUUUUAGUUUGAGGGUAGAGAGCAAAAGUAAGUUAUUCAGUAGUUAACUUGGAAUGGUUCAGUUUUCUUCUUCACCGGGAUUAUGUUAUUCAUUUGAGUUAAUUAUGUUCAUUUGUUUCUGUUUCUAUUCCAUUUUAUUUCCCCAAUCCUUGUCUAUUUUAUUUAUAUUUUAUGUACACUAAAAAUAUAUUUUAAUAGUCAGUACUGUACAAAAAAUUAUACUCAAAAGUGUCACUCCUCCAACCCUGUACCUGCACCACAGGUAAUCAAUCUCUUCCAUUUCUAGUUUAUCAUUUCUAUGUUUCUUCUUGUGCAAAUGAGAUUUCUACAAGUUUUUUUUUCCCUUCUUACUUACCUAAAGGCAACCUGUAGCUUCUUUUUUGCACUUUGAUAUUUUUUUUUUCACAUAACACAGUAGUCUUAUCAUCCUUUCUAAGCUGUAAGAUUUGCCCUGAUGUUCCUUCUUUCAUUCCUGAUGUUGAUAAUUGUGCUUUCUCCCUGUUUUUUCCAUAUAAUUUUGUAUAAGGGGUUGAUCUUUUUUAAUCUUUUCAAAGAAACUGCCUUGGAUUUUAAUCUUAUCUACUACUUGUUUUUCAUCUCAUUUAUUUCAGCUCUUUUCUGUAGAAUUUCCUUUCUUCUACUUAUGUUGAAUUUAAUUUGCCUAGGUUUUUAGGAUGGAAGCAGACUGUUGAUUAAAACAUGCACCUCCCCUUCUAAGAUAAGCACUUAAGUCUACACAUUUCUCACUGCCUACUCUUUUAGUUGUAUGCAGCACAUUUCUAUGCGUUGUGUUUUCACUGUCACUCAGUUUGAAAUACUUUUUAAAAUCUCUGUAACUUUGAUCCAUGCAUUGCUUCUAUGUGUACUGUUUAAUUUCUAAAUACAUAGGGUUUUAUAGAUUUUUUAAAACUAUAUUUAUUUUUUAAUUGAAGGAUAAUUGCCUUACAGGAUUUUGUUGUUUUUUGUCAAAUAUUUUUUAUUGAUUUCUGUUUAAUUCCAGUGUGUCAAAGAAUACAGACCCUAAUACAGCAAUCUUUUAAAACAU